rnacentral:lncRNA from 1 species
AGGUGGUUCAAUUCCUUUCCUUAGAACCGUACUUGAGAGUUUUCCCGCCUCAUACGGCUCGGCAAUCAAUUCUUUUGGUGUCCCGGGUUUUUGAAUCUAGUAUAUCGAAUUGAAUGAGAUUUCUCAUAGAUCGAUCUUUAUCUUUAUUCUUUUUUUGGGGGGUUAACCAAAAGAGGUUAAUUCCAUGAGCAUGAGUUUCAAACUUGACUUUGAUUAAAUUAAUAAUCAGCUUUGCUUUCAUUUUAUCUUUUCUCCCACCGUCAGAAGAAUAACAUAGAAGCAUUUCCACUAUAGUUAGAAUUUUCUGAAAGGUAUCUAUCUCGGUUUCAUAUAAAAAUUGAUAUAGAAUCUUUGAAAAAGCCCUUUCUUCCUAAGAAAGAAAAGGCUUACUGUCUUUGGGAUCUGAUGCUACACCGCUGCUCAAUACCUUAGGGGAUCGACUUUAUUACAUAAGUGGAUUCCUUACUUUUAUCUCAUAUCAUGACAUAAAUAAGCAGUUCUUAUUGGAUCGGCAUCGGCCCAAAACUCGCGAAUUGAUCUUAUUACGGGUGCUUCCUCUAUCAAUUAGAUCCUUUAUCCAUAGAAUAAACUAUCUAGGCAUAUCGAUUUCUUCAUAUUUCGACUUCUAAUGAAGUUUCUUUCUUUGCUACAGCUGAUAAAAAUCGUUUUUGCACGAUGCAUAUGUAAGAAAGCCUAUUUUUUUUUUUUUCGAGUAUUUAUUAGUGUAUUUGCUCUUUACCCCCCUCCUUUUUUUUUUUCUUUUACUUUUUUCUUUCUAUAGUAGAGAUAGUCGCACGUAAUGACAGAUCACAGCCAUAUUAUUAAAAGCUUGUGGUAAGAACGGAUUUCGUUCUAGUGCCCGAAAAUAAUAUUCUAAAGCUUUUGUAUGUUCUCCGUUACUUGUGUGGAUAAGGCCUAUGUUAUAGAGUAUAUAGCUUCGAUCGUAAGGAUCAAUUUCUAGUCGCAUAGCUUCAUAAUAAUUCUGUAAAGCUUCCGCAUAAUUGCCUUCAGAUUGAGCUGACAUCCGUUACGGUCGUCAUUCGAUUCAAAGAAUUCUCCGUUUCAAAAACCGUACAUGAGAUGAAAAUCUCAUACGGCUCCUCCUUUAUGUGCAUUAUGAGAAUAAUCCAUGAAAUCAAAAAAGAUUGAAAUAUUCUCAUUAUGAACUAAGUGGGGCUAAUGUUUUUACAAGAAAUCUCUAGCCAACCUUCCUGCAAAAGCUUUUUUCUUAAUAUCACGCGUGUUGGUACUAGAUAAAACCGGAAACUCCAACAAUUUCUUUGUUCUCAACGCCCCUUAAUUUACAGGAAUUAAUCACUUCAACAGUCUUCGAUGGUUAUACGGGUAUCCACAGUACGAACGAGAUGGAUGUUUGUUAUCCCAACCAUUCUUCUUAGUCCCGAUCCCGCUAAGGAAAGGGGGCAGCUUAUAACAAAGUUUUCGUGUUGCUGAUUCCUAGACGUAGCGCCUCUUCCCCUAUGCCGCCUAUUGGUACUGGUGUAGUAGGGUUGACUUGCAAUACAGAACCCAUAGGUGUAACCUUUCGCUCAAUACUAGAAUCGACAAUUGAAGCAUCUGAGGCUGCAUUAAUCGGGGAUACACGACAGAAGGAAUGGUUUUAUCUAUAAACUUCACCUUCAACAAGCGUAGAUUUUUUCAAUAAUCUUUUUUUUUUUUUUUUCUAUCCCGAAUUGUCUUUCUUUCUUCUAAGACCGAAAGGGGUAAAUAAAAAACUAAUCAAAUCGCACCAUCUCUGUAAUAGGUAAAUGCCUCUUUUUCUCCUACAGUUGUCGGAAUUAUUCGUAAUAAUAUAUUGGCUACAAUCGAAAAGGUCUUAUCAAUAAAAUUUCCGUUUAUCCGCGAUCUAGGCAUAGGUAAAAAUCCAUUCUAUAAUUCGUUUCAUUACCUCUUGUGAGAAAAUGAUCCCACAAACAAAGGAAUUGUACAGUACAAAAUAACAUAAAAGCAGACGUGUUAAAAAAAAUAAAAAAAAAAGACCGAUCCGUUGAUUCGUUCCAACUCAUUGAUUAAAUCAGGUAGAAAUAUCAGAAAAAAAAAAAAAAAGGAGCGCCAUCUUUGCAAACAAGAUAUAUAGCCUUAUUGUUUUUUGUUUUGAACAGUUUUUCACAAACAAAAAAGUUAUCCUUUUCCCCAGACUCAAAGGAAGAAUUUUUUCUUUGCUGAAAGGGUUUCUAUUUUUCUAGUUAGAACGGAUUCGAUUGUCCGUACCCAUCUACCAAUCGAAUUUGAACAACUCGCUAUUCACGCGGGUUCUCGGUCAUAAUCAUUGUGUAGGAGAGAUGGCCGAGUGGUUCAAGGCGUAGCAUUGGAAACUGCUAUGUAGAUCUUUUGUUUACCGGGGGUUCGAAUCCCUCUCUUUCCGUACUUGAACUAAUUCAUCAAUGUUACUGACCGGAAUGUAUCCAAGCCAAAAAAGAAUGAAUACCGAAGCAGUCAGACCUUUUUUUGAGCUAGAUUCUCAAUUCCUACGGGAAAGAAAGGGAAGGGGCAGGCAGGGAUAAAAAUCUACCCUCGGAUCUAUGAUACAUGAAUGGGAUAAAAAAAACUCCAACGGAUCAACUCCUUACCUUGUAUCCCUUUCCUUAAGUUAGGUGAAAGGGUAAAUUUGUACGAGCCCGUUAUUUUAGUUAGGUUUAAGUUUGACGAGAAUAAUAUUCUACGACAAGCAAUUCAUUUAUUUUCAAACCGACCCAUUGACUAUCUAUUAUUUGAUUGACUAAUCCUUUAUAUUGGAAUGCGCGAAGAGUCAAAUGCUUUGGCAAUUCCUCAUGGUGGGAUGAAUCAAGAUAAUUUUGAACCAGAGAUCUAGAUUUUGGGUCAUCCCUUACUGUAAUAAUAUCUCGGGGUUUGCAACGAUAACUUGGUAUAUCGACUAUACGACCAUUAACUAAAAUAUGUCGAUGGUUAACCAAUUGGCGGGCUUGAGGAAUAGUUGAAGCCAUACCCAAUCGAAAAAAAUGUUAUCCAAACGCAUUUCAAAGUUAAUUGUAGUAAAACCAGACCGGUUGACCUUUGGCUUUUUCUGGCGAUACGAACAUAUUUAAAGUAAUUGUCGUUCUGUAAGACCAUAAUGAAAACGCAAUUUUUGUUUUUCUUCUAAACGAAUUCGAUAUUGAGAUUUUUUACGGAGCGCAAUUGGUUUCUAAAAUCGCUUCCCGCUCUAGGCCUUUUACUCGUUAGUCCCGGCAAAGCCCCCAGACGGCGUAUUUUUUGAAACGAGGCCCUCGGUAACGUGACAUAAAGACUCCUUAUUUUAUUGAAUUUCAUAAACCUAAAUUAAAACUGAGCUACAUGAUAAAUGAAGCAAAAUCCGCUGAAGUAUUGUACUACAAAGAAUACUAAGAUGAUUGUAUCAAAUUCCAGACCCCUUUUUGUAUUGUAUACGCAUAUAGAAAUAUAAAUCAAAAGAGGGUUCCUUUUCUUGAUUUAUUCUGCCGAAAUCGAACUUCCUCCAACUUUUAUUCAUAAUUGGAAGCUCCUACAACAUACUGGAUCGAUGAUCCUUGGAAGAAGCCUUUUCAAUGUUCUUUUCUUUCAAAAGACAUUAUCAAUCAUGUAAAAAAUCAAACAAAUAGAGAAAAGCCGGCUAUCGGAAUCGAACCGAUGACCAUCGCAUUACAAAUGCGAUGCUCUAACCUCUGAGCUAAGCGGGCUUAAAUAAGAGAAAUUGUACAUGCGUAGGGAUCCUAGGAUCUUAUCUAUUAACCUUUUAUUCUUAGCUAUUCAUAAAGAAUAAAAUAGAGAAUCGAAUUUUCAAAUAAAUGUUGAAUACUAUAGAUAUAGAACAUAACGAUUAAUCUAACAAUUACGAGAAUCUAGUGAUGAUAUAUAUUAGCGAAUUUGGAUUUUUUUAUCAAUUCUAUAUUGAUCAACAAUAAAUAUCUUACUCUUAAUUAGAUAAUAAAAUACGAUUUGAUUUAUUUAUUAUUUUUUUUUUUUUCAUUUUUGAAUUCAAGACAUUUAAAAUUAUUUUUUGUUUCUAACCUAAGAUUCUUAUAUAUUCUAUUCGAUUAUUCUAUAUUAUAGAAUAUACAUAAUAUUCGAUUAUUAUUCUAUAUUCUAUAUAUAUUUAGUUAUUCUAAAUCGAAUAUUAUAUUCGAUUCUAUUAUCCAUUUUUCGAAAUUCUAAAUUUGCCUCUAUUCUAAUUCGAAAUAAUUAGGCCUUUAGACUAAAUUAAUUAGAAUUAUCUUCGAAUUCUAAUUUAAUUGACUGAGUAGUUAUAGCUAUUUAUUGAUUAGGUCUAGCUAUUAUAUUCUAAAUGAUUAAUAAAAAUGAUUUAUUUUUAUUUAAUAAAUUGAAAUUGGAAUUUGAGUUAUUUUGGUUAUGUUAUAUAGGUUCUUCCUUAAGGAAAGGGCAAGUAUAAAUAGAAAAUGAAAUGAAAGAGAAAGAUACAAUCCCGCAUAAAUGGAAUCUGGAUUAGAAUGAGAGACCAUUUUUGUUUUCAUUCGAAAAGGGGCGUAAGAAAAAACGAAAAAAUAAAUCGACCGUUCGAGUAUUCCGCCGGAUUGCACGAAAAAAUGAGAGUAAGGGGGGCAUAUAUAUUUUAUGGUAGUUUAUAUCCAUCUAUAUUGAAUUGCGGAUACAGAAAAGAUAGAAUCAUUUCUGACAAGAAAGCAAAACACCUUUCGAUAUAUAUAAAUCCAUAUCUACGGAAUUCUACUGUUUCCGCAGAAAUGAAAGAAAGGGGGAACAGCAUUGAGUUCCUAAAACACAAAGGGGAUAUGGCGAAAUUGGUAGACGCUACGGACUUAAUUGGAUUGAGCCUUAGUAUGGAAACUUACUAAGUGAUAACUUUCAAAUUCAGAGAAACCCAGGAAUUAAAAAUGGGUAAUCCUGAGCCAAAUCCUCUUCUCUUUUCCAAGAACAAACAGGGGUUCAGAAAGCGAAAAAGGGGGAUAGGUGCAGAGACUCAAUGGAAGCUGUUCUAACAAAUGGAGUUGACUGCCCUUUUUGGUAAAGAAAAAGAAAGUCAAAUGAAU